CAAAAGAUAGUUUAACGGAAAAUCCCUGCUUUGGGGGCUGGGGAUGGAGGUUUGAGCCUUUCUCUUUUGA
rnacentral:tRNA from 1 species